UACAGAGGGGGCAAGCGUUGUUCGGAAUUACUGGGCGUAAAAGGCGCGUAGGCGGCCUUCUAAGUCGAACGUGAAAUCCCCGGGCUCAACCCGGGAACUGCGUCCGAUACUGGAAGGCUUGAAUCCGGGAGAGGGAUGCGGAAUUCCAGGUGUAGCGGUGAAAUGCGUAGAUAUCUGGAGGAACACCGGUGGCGAAGGCGGCAUCCUGGACCGGCAUUGACGCUGAGGCGCGAAAGCCAGGGGAGCAAAGCGGG
rnacentral:rRNA from 1 species